rnacentral:rRNA from 1 species
AUUGAACGCUGGCGGCAGGCUUAACACAUGCAAGUCGAGCGGAGAGAGGUAGCUUGCUACUGAUCUUAGCGGCGGACGGGUGAGUAAUGCUUAGGAAUCUGCCUAUUAGUGGGGGACAACGUUUCGAAAGGGACGCUAAUACCGCAUACGCCCUAAGGGGGAAAGCAGGGGAUCAGAGAUGACCUUGCGCUAAUAGAUGAGCCUAAGACGGAUUAGCUAGUUGGUGGGGUAAAGGCCUACCAAGGCGACGAUCUGUAGGGAGUCUGAGAGGAUGAUCCGCCACACUGGGACUGAGACACGGCCCAGACUCCUACGGGAGGCGGCAGUGGGGAAUAUUGGACAAUGGGGGGAACCCUGAUCCAGCCAUGCCGCGUGUGUGAAGAAGGCCUUAUGGUUGUAAAGCACUUUAAGCGAGGAGGAGGGUAGGCUAGCUAAUACCUAGCAGUACUGGACGUUACUCGCAGAAUAAGCACCGGCUAACUCUGUGCCAGCAGCCGCCGUAAUAC